GAUGAACGCUAGCGGCAGGCUUAAUACAUGCAAGUCGAGGGGCAUCGGGGGUAGCAAUACCUGCCGGCGACCGGCAAACGGGUGCGGAACACGUACACAACCUUCCUUUUGGUGGGGGAUAGCCCAGAGAAAUUUGGAUUAAUACCCCGUAGUAUUACUAGGUGGCAUCACCGUGUAAAUUAAAGAUUUAUUGCCAGAAGAUGGGUGUGCGUCUGAUUAGGUAGUUGGUCGGGGUAAAGCCCACCAAGCCAACGAUCAGUAACUGGUGUGAGAGCACGACCAGUCACACGGGCACUGAGACACGGGCCCGACUCCUACGGGAGCAGCAGGUAAGGAAUAUUGGUCAAGUGGAGGCAACUCUGAACCAGCCAUGCCGCGUGAAGGAU
rnacentral:rRNA from 1 species